GUAUUCAGCCACUCUGGCCUGGGUGCCCUGUUCGCUGGUCCGGCAUCGGCUAGUUGGCGGGUGUCUCCUGAGUCUUGGUGGUGCACUUGCAAGUGGAGUGCGCUGAGGCCUGUGGGUCAGCGGUUGGAAGUGCGCUUUGAGGAUACCUUUCGGGGUAAAACCCGGGCGUGCCUAAGACUGUUUGGCCUGCUUGUACAAUGAGCGAGGCCAACGGGUUUGGCUGGGGCUGAGCUGGUUGUCGGUUACGGUCGCAUGCGACACGUGUUGGUGGCUGGUUUUGUCUGGGUCUGGCUCCCUCGCUCGCCCUCGGUGUAAAAGCUAGUCAUCUAUCCGACCCGUCUUGAAACACGGACCAAGGAGUUUAGCGUAUGCGCGAGUCAUUGAGUGAAAAACUCAAAGGCGCAAUGAAAGUAAAGGCAUCCCUUGUGGAGCUGAUAUGCGACCUCGGGUGCUUCGGUGCCCGGGAGCAGCAUAGCCCCGUCCCGAUCGCUUGCGAUGGGGCGGAGGUAGAGCGUGUACGCUGAGACCCGAAAGAUGGUGAACUAUUCCUGAGCAGGAUGAAGCCAGUGGAAA
rnacentral:rRNA from 1 species